rnacentral:rRNA from 1 species
UACGAAGGGGGCUAGCGUUGCUCGGAAUUACUGGGCGUAAAGGGCGCGUAGGCGGGUCUUUAAGUCAGGGGUGAAAUCCUGGAGCUCAACUCCAGAACUGCCUUUGAUACUGAGGAUCUCGAGUCCGGGAGAGGUGAGUGGAACUCCGAGUGUAGAGGUGAAAUUCGUAGAUAUUCGGAAGAACACCAGUGGCGAAGGCGGCUCACUGGACCGGUAUUGACGCUGAUGUGCGAAAGCGUGGGGAGCAAACAGG